AACGAACGCUGGCGGCAUGCCUAACACAUGCAAGUCGAACGAGACCUUCGGGUCUAGUGGCGCACGGGUGCGUAACGCGUGGGAACCUUCCCUUAGGUUCGGAAUAACUCCCCGAAAGGGGUGCUAAUACCGGAUCAUGUCUUCGGACCAAAGAUUUAUCGCCUUUGGAUGGGCCCGCGUUGGAUUAGCUAGUUGGUAGGGUAAAAGCCUACCAAGGCGACGAUCCAUAGCUGGUCUGAGAGGAUGAUCAGCCACACUGGGACUGAGACACGGCCCAGACUCCUACGGGAGGCAGCAGUGGGGAAUAUUGGACAAUGGGCGAAAGCCUGAUCCAGCAAUGCCGCGUGAGUGAUGAAGGCCUUAGGGUUGUAAAGCUCUUUUACCCGGGAUGAUAAUGACAGUACCGGGAGAAUAAGCUCCGGCUAACUCCGUG
rnacentral:rRNA from 1 species